rnacentral:rRNA from 1 species
AUUGAACGCUGGCGGAAUGCUUUACACAUGCAAGUCGAACGGUAGAGGGGGCAACCCCUCGAGAGUGGCGAACGGGUGAGUAAUAUAUCGGAACGUGCCCAGUCGUGGGGGAUAACGUAGCGAAAGUUACGCUAACACCGCAUACGAUCUAAGGAGGAAAGCGGGGGAUCGCAAGACCUCGCGCGAUUGGAGCGGCCGAUAUCAGAUUAGGUAGUUGGUGGGGUAAAGGCUCACCAAGCCAACGAUCUGUAGCUGGUCUGAGAGGACGACCGGCCACACUGGAACGGCGACAGUGUCCAGACUCCUACGGGAGGCAGCCGUGGGGAAUUUUGGACAAUGGGCGCAAGUCUGAUCCAGCCAUUCCGCGUGCAGGAUGAAGGCCCUCGGGUUGUAAACUGCUUUUGUACGGAACGAAAAGGUCUCUCUUAAUACGGGGGACUCAUGACGGUACCGUAAGAAUAAGCACCGGCUAACUACGUGCCAGCAGCCGCAGUAA